rnacentral:misc_RNA from 1 species
GAUGAAGAACGUAGCAAAAUGCGAUAAGUAAUGUGAAUUGCAGAAUUCAGUGAAUCAUCGAAUCUUUGAACGCACAUUGCGCCCGCUGGUAUUCCGGCGGGCAUGCCUGUUCGAGCGUCAUUUCAACCCUCAAGCCCCCGGGUUUGGUGUUGGGGAUCGGCUCUGCCUCACGGCGGUGCCGCCCCCGAAAUACAUUGGCGGUCUCGCUGCAGCCUCCAUUGCGUAGUAGCUAACACCUCGCAACUGGAACGCGGCGCGGCCAUGCCGUAAAACCCCAACUUCUGAAUGUUGACCUCGGAUCAGGUAGGAAUACCCGCUGAACUUAAGCAUAUCAAUAAGCGGAGGA